rnacentral:rRNA from 1 species
CCUACGGGUGGCAGCAGUGAGGAAUAUUGGUCAAUGGACGAGAGUCUGAACCAGCCAAGUAGCGUGAAGGAUGACUGCCCUAUGGGUUGUAAACUUCUUUUAUAUGGGAAUAAAAUGUUCCACGUGUGGGAUUUUGUAUGUACCAUAUGAAUAAGGAUCGGCUAACUCCGUGCCAGCAGCCGCGGUAAUACGGAGGAUCCGAGCGUUAUCCGGAUUUAUUGGGUUUAAAGGGAGCGUAGGUGGAUUGUUAAGUCAGUUGUGAAAGUGUGCGGCUCAACCGUAAAAUUGCAGUUGAAACUGGCAGUCUUGAGUACGGUAGAGGUGGGCGGAAUUCGUGGUGUAGCGGUGAAAUGCUUAGAUAUCACGAAGAACUCCGAUUGCGAAGGCAGUUCACUGGACUGCAACUGACACUGAGGCUCGAAAGUGUGGGUAUCAAACAGGAUUAGAUACCCCAGUAGUC